rnacentral:lncRNA from 1 species
GCGCUUAGUCGACCUCCUCCAUCUUGCUCUCACCGGCAUCAUCCUCCAGGGGCGGCAUGUCGGUGUCGUUCUCAGGCGCCUCAUCGUCCUCAUCAAUGCUCAGGCCAAGCUUGAGCAUGCGGUGGAUCCUGGUGCCGAAGGUGUUGGGGUCCUCAAGGCUGAAGCCCGAGGUGAGCAGAGAGGUCUCGAAGAGAAGCAUCACCAGGUCCUUCACCGACUUGUCGUUCUUGUCGGCGUCGGCACGCUUGCGGAGCUCGUCCAUGAUGGCGUUCUCAGGGUUGAUCUCCAUGGUCUUCUUGCUAGACAUGUAGCCAGCCAUGCUCGAGUCCCUCAAGGCCUGGGCCUUCAUGAUCCUCUCCAUGUUGGCGGUCCACCCAUACUCACCAGUCACCAGACAGCACGGUGAGUCCACAACACGGUCAGAGACGAUGACCUUCUCCACCUUGUCGCCCAGCACCUCCUUGAUGACCUUGCACAGCCCCUCGAACUUCUCCUUGAGUUCCUCCUGCUUCUUCUUCUCGUCCUCGCUCUCAUCAAGCUUCAGACCCUCCUUGGUGGCAGAGACAAGCUUCUUGCCCUCAAACUCCUUGAGCUGACCAAUGGCAUACUCAUCAAUGGCGUCAACCAUGUAGAUGACCUCAUAGCCCUUCUUCUUCAGCUUCUCAAGGAAGGGAGAGUUCUCCACAGCCUUCUUGCUCUCACCAGUGAUGUAGUAGAUCUCGUUCUGACCCUCCUUCAUCCUGGUUACAUAGUCCUUGAGGCUCGUCAGCUCAUCACCACUCUUGGUGGAGUGGUACCUCAGAAGCUCAGCAAUCUUGGUCCUGUUCUGGGAGUCCUCAUGGAUGCCAAGCUUGAGGUUCUUGGAGAAGGCCUCGUAGAACUUGUUGUAGUCCUCCUUGUUCUCAGCAAUCUCAAAGAAGAGCUCAAUGCACUUCUUGACAAGGUUCUUCCGGAUGACCUUGAGGAUCUUGUUCUGCUGGAGAGUCUCACGGGAGAUGUUCAGGGGAAGGUCCUCUGAAUCAACAAUGCCCUUGACAAAGCUCAGGUACUCAGGGAUCAACUCAUCACAGUUGUCCAUGAUGAAGACACGGCGCACAUACAGCUUGAUGUUGUUGGCCUUCUUCUUGUUGUCGAAGAGGUCGAAGGGGGCCCUCUUGGGAACAAACAGGACAGCCUUGAACUCAAGCUGACCCUCAACAGAGAAGUGCUUGACAGCCA